AGCAGCCACAUCAGGUUGAAAAAUUGGUUUCCAUACAAUCAUCAAAGUUAAGCAACAUCGAGCCUGGUCAGUACCUCAAUGGGUAACCACCUGGGAAUACCAGGUGUUGUU